CCGACACAACACCUCUCCAUUUCUCUCCAAUAAUUCAUCCAAUUCAGAAACCCUCCUCACCGACCCUUAAACAUGCAGUUAUCCGAUAACGAUACGGGUGUUGAUCAAAGGGCGUGAACUUCAAGGCCUUCACCAUCAUGGCAUCAUCUUCUGCAUGUGUUUGGUAUAUAUGGUUGAGCAUGCAGGUUUAUGUUCGAGUGACAAUGGAUUAGAUCCCAACAACUUAUUGCCACUUCCGGACCAAAAUAUUGAAUCUGGGCCAUGUAGAUUAUUUGGGAAGGUUGAAUAUUCUUGUGCUUAUAGAUAUGAACUUUGAUUUCAUCUUCAAAGCUCACACUGCUUUACACACACACACACACACACACACAUUCACAUUUAUAAUAUAUGUGUACGGAUAUCAUACAAACUAUGCUUUACACACACACACACACAUUCACAUUUAUAAUAUAUGUGUACGGAUAUCAUACAAACUAUGUGGGAUCCCUCUAUGGAAGCUCCCUGUGUAUCGGGUAAUCCUAGAAGAUCCUUUUGCUAGUCCCAGAUUUGGUUAAUGUAUUUGCUCACGUUGUGGCAUCACCAGUUGAAACUCCUAAGUAAAAGCACAAAUCGGAAGAGUUUUUUCUCAACUGAUUUCAUUCUAUGGCCAAUAGAUGCGGCCCCUUUUGAGUAACCUCUCCCCUGCUUAUGCAAAUGCCCUAGCCGCAUUUGUCCCGAAAAUCUGAUUCAGGAUGAGCCUGUGACUUGCCUUCUCAUUGCCUUUACUCCAGGAAGCCGGUCGAUUGAGCCUGUGGAUUGUGAUUCUUCACCAAUAGUUUCUACCCGCCUUUUUUGCUGAGAUUCUUUUCCAAUUCAAAGACCGCGGUGUGUUGUUCCCAUGUUUUAUAGAUGGGUUGGCUGAAGUCUUGGAGGAGGACAUCGUUCUAUUCUAUAAGGUAUGCCUGCGACCUAGGGUGAGAAAAUUAGCAAAUGCCCCAAGAGGCUACGAAGCUUAUUUUGCAAAUUGCAUUAACCUUGUAUACGUAUUUUCUGUUCAUUCUUAUAGGUGAUCCUCCUCCUAGUAGCACCUUCAUUUUCAAGGCUGGAGAUACUGCCUUUUCUUCUUCUUCCUUAUUUUCAUGCAAUAUAUAUGUAGAUUUUUGGUUUCAAA